ACAGUUUAAACUUUUGAAGUUUUUUACUCGGCGCGUGUUUUAAUGGAUUUAUUUUGUUUAUAAAAUUUAACUUGUUAUUACUUUUCAUUCUCUGUCGUCUGUCUUCAUUUUUAAUUUCUGUAGAUAGUCUAGUGUUAUUUUCUGCUUAAAUAAGAGUUAUUUAACCCGACCACUUUAUAAUUUUGGAGUGUGUCUGUCAGAAUUUGUGACCAUUCAGUCAAAGGAGCCUUUGCGAGGUCAGACACUGAUGUGGCCUGGUGCACAAUUGACGAUCCGAUUACUUCCAGAGGUGUUCAGUGGGGUGAAUGAAUUGAGACCCUGUGAUCCCUGGUUCCUAUCACCACCAAAUCAAAUUAAGGGAACGGAAGUGAAUACAUGGGGGAGGAAACGGCAAUCACUAUGAACUAGAUGUGAAGUGACACAGUGGUGCGUGUGCCUGUGUUGCUGGACAUAAACAUAGAUCUUUUACACAUUCAACACAUUGGUGUUUAUGGGGUAGCCUUUAGCAUUGUUUUGGAUAUAAGUGUACUUGUGUGUUUUUGUCAAUUGUUUUAUAGCAAGAUUUCUGGUGCAAUUUUUAGAAUUUACCUCCAAACUGUUUUUUUUUCAUCCUUGCAGCAAAGCUCAGAAUAAAAACAAAUG